AUUGAACGCUGGCGGCAGGCCUAACACAUGCAAGUCGAACGGCAGCGGGGGAUAGCUUGCUAUCCUGCCGGCGAGUGGCGGACGGGUGAGUAAUGCAUGGGGAGCUGCCCAGUCGAGGGGGAUAACAACUGGAAACGGUUGCUAAUACCGCAUACGCCCCUUGGGGGAAAGGUGGGGAACUUCGGUCCUACCGCGAUUGGAUGCGCCCAUGUGGGAAUAGCUAGUUGGUGAGGUAACGGCUCACCAAGGCGACGAUCUCUAGCUGGUCUGAGAGGAUGACCAGCCACACUGGAACUGAGACACGGUCCAGAAUCCUACGGGAGGCAGCAGUGGGGAAUAUUGCACAAUGGGGGAAACCCUGAUGCAGCCAUGCCGCGUGUGUGAAGAAGGCCUUCGGGUUGUAAAGCACUUUCAGUCAGGAGGAAGGGGUGAUGGCUAAUAUCCAUCAUCAUUGACGUUACUGACAGAAGAAGCACCGGCUAACUACGUGCCAGCCGCCGCGGUAA
rnacentral:rRNA from 1 species